GGUGCAUUCACGCGUUUGACGCGAACUCGCGUCUGCCGCCCGAGUUGAAAAAUCGGAACUUUGGCGUCAAUUCGCGCCGCGUUAACCAAUCAGGAGCCUAGCUGCUUGCUGCUGUCACGUAUCUGGAUGCUUCAAUAAAUUAUUUUGUAAUAUGA